UCAAGCUACAAAGAGCUUAAGGUGAAUGCCUUGGCACUGGGAGCCGAUGAAGGACGUGGCAAGCUGCGAAAAGCUACGGGGAGUUGCAAGCAAACUUUGAUCCGUAGAUGUCCGAAUGGAGCAAUCCACAUGAGGUAACGCUCAUGUAUCAUACGAUGAAUUCAUAGUCGUAUGAGGGGAACCGCCUGAACUGAAACAUCUAAGUAGGGCGAGGAAGAGAAAUCAAACGAGAUUCCGCUAGUAGUGGCGAGCGAACGCGGAAGAGGCCAAACCAGAAGCAGCAAUGUUUCUGGGGUUAGGACUGCAUUUAGCAUUGACAAUGGUUAGCCGAACUGCAUGGGAAGGCAGACAAGAUAGGGUGAGAGUCCCGUAGGCGAAAACUAGAGUCAGCGAGCAGUAUCCAGAGUACCGCAAGACACGUGAAACCUUGUGGGAAGAUGGGGGGACCACCCUCCAAGCCUAAAUACUACCCAGUGACCGAUAGCGCAAAGUACUGUGAAGGAAAGGUGAAAAGGACCCCGGGAGGGGAGUGAAAUAGAACCUGAAACCCUGAGCUUACAAGCACCGAGAGCACGUCAAAGUGUGAUCGGGUACUUUUUGUAGAACGGUCCGGCGAGCGUAUGUACGUAGCAAGGUUAAGGACUUAAGGUCCGGAGCCGAAGCGAGAGCAAGUCUGAAUAGGGCGUCAAGUUACGUGCAUAGGGCCCGAAACCGGGUGACCUAUCCAUGUCCAGGCUGAAGUUGGGGUAAGACCCAAUGGAGGGCCGAACCGACCUCCGUUGAAAAGGCGGCGGAUGAGGUGUGGAUAGCGGAGAAAUUCCAAUCGAACUCGGAUAUAGCUGGUUCUCCCCGAAAUAGCUUUAGGGCUAGCGUUGUGUAUCAUUACCGGAGGUAAAGCACUGAAUGGCCUAGGGCCCUAACGGGUACCGAAGCCUAUCAAACUAAGAAUGCCGGCUAAUGCGAGCACAGCAGUCAGACUAUGGGAGAUAAGUUUCAUAGUCAAAAGGGAAACAGCCCAGACCCACAGCUAAGGUCCCAAAUAUGAUUUAAGUGGAAAACGAUGUGGGGUUGCGAAAACAACCAGGAUGUUGGCUUAGAAGCAGCCACUCAUUUAAAGAGUGCGUAAUAGCUCACUGGUCGAGUGACCCUGCGCGGAAAAUUCAACGGGGCUAAAAUCAUAACCGAAGCUUGGGAUAUACUAAUGUAUAUGGUAGGGGAGCGUUGUGUAAGGGGUGAAGUCAUAGCGGAAGCGGUGGUGGACUUUACACAAGUGAGAAUGCCGGAAUGAGUAGCGCGAAUUAUGUGAGAAUCAUAAUGGCCGAAAGUCUAAGGUUUUUGGAGGAAGGUUCGUCCGCUCCAAGUUAGUCGGGAGCUAAGGUCAGGCCGAAAGGCGUAGCCGAUGCACAUACGGUAGACAUUCCGUAACCGUCGAAGUAUUUAAGCAAAGGGACACUUUGGGAAGGUACAAGCCAGGCGUUGGUAGCCCUGGUCGUAAGGGACUGAAGUUUAGUAAGGAAGUGUACUGGAACAGAGGCGAGAAAAGCUUUGUGUAUAUACAAGACGCCCGUACCGCAAACCGACACAGGUAGAUGGGAAGAGAAUUCUAAGGCCAACGGGAGAAGGGUUGUUAAGGAACUCGGCAAGUUGACCCCGUAACUUCGGAAGAAGGGGUGCUCCAGAAAUGGAGCCGCAGAGAAUAGGUCCAGGCGACUGUUUAGCAAAAACACAGCUCUAUGCUAAAUCGAAAGAUGAUGUAUAUGGGGUGACACCUGCCCGGUGCUGGAAGGUUAAGAGGAGAUGUGCAAGCAUUGAAUUGAAGCCCCAGUAAACGGCGGCCGUAACUAUAACGGUCCUAAGGUAGCGAAAUUCCUUGUCAGGUAAGUUCUGACCC
rnacentral:rRNA from 1 species